GCCAUGUUGUAAGCUUGCUGUGUGGAGAGGUUUACACAGCAAGGAACUGAAGCCUCCUGCCAACAACCAUCUCACGGAGAACAGCCUGGAGUAAGGGUUUCAUGAUAGAGAUUUUCUUCCCCUCUUGCGCUGGCUAACCCAACAUUGACAACGGAUAGUAAGCAGUUCUGGAAGUGGACAGACUUACACAAGACAACUCUAUAGAGCAGUGGUUCUUUGCUAUAGUUGUGCACCAGAAUCACCGGUACUGGAAGAGUGAUCUGAGCAAUGCCUGCUCUGGAGGUUCCGGUAAGACAUCAUUAUAAGGAAGGGCUCCCAGUGACUUCACGGAGAAGAAGAAAUACCAUCUGUGUCUUGAGGUCCAGGGAAUAUGCAUCAUGCUGAGGUUAACUCUUUCUUGACAAACCCAGAGCGCAUGUUCACAUGGACAAAGAAGUCAGAAUGACAACAUUAUUCAAGGAUUUCUGGACUUCAUUGCAAUGUGGGGGGAGAUUCCCGCCAACAAAACACCAAGCAAUUCUUGGACACCCUGCUGGUGUCAACUCAUUUUUGAUACUAUCUACCUGGAGAUAGCAUUAGCUUCCACAGAUUAAGGGUUCAAUCCUAUAAGACCGCCUGCAUCCCUCUUCCCAUUUCAGAAACCGCUCACAAGCCCCAGGCUGUUACCUGCACUUCUAACCAACCAGCUAUAGUUGGGAGGUUCCAAAGACCUCCUCCUUAGGUUCCUUUAACUUGCUAAAGCAGCUCACAGAGCUCAGGGAAAUACCUAUGUUUACCGUUUUACUAAAGGAUAUGAUAAAGGAUAUAAAUCAACAGCCAGAUGAAGAGAUAGAGAGGGCAAGGUAUGUGGAAAGGGUGCAGAGCUGUCAUGACCUCUCUAGGCACACUCUCCCUGUAUCUGAAGUGUUCACCAACCCGGAAGCUCUCCAAACACUGUCCUUUUGAACUUUUAUGGAAGCUUCAUUACAUUGGCACGAUUGAUGAACUAAUUGACCAUUGGCUAAUUCAACAUCCAGCCCCUCUCUGAUCCUUGGAGAUUGGGGAUGAGGGGAGCAGAACCGAAAAUUUCAACCCUUUAAUCACGUGGUUGGUUCUGGCAGCUAGCCCAUACCCUUGGGUGGGGUCCAAGAGUCACCUCAUUAACAUAAUAAAGACCUUCAUCACUCCUAUCACAGGAAAUUCCAAGGGUUUUAGGAGCUGUGAAUGAAGAACUAGGGAUAAAGACCAAUACACAGAAGAUACGCAUUUUGGUAUCUGACUCAGACAGGAUCUCUUAAGAUCACAAUAUGGCGCAGGUACUAGAAAUGAAUUUCAUUAGAAAAGUAACAACUAAGCAAAGACGUAGUGGCGAGGAUGACCACCUGGGGAAAGAGUGUUUUAGGCUUUUAGAACAACCAGUGCCAAGGGCAAAAGGGAGCUAGAGGUUCCAGGAACACGAAGCUGGGGUUGCUGCCACAGAGCUAAGUCAGAAAGACCACAGAUGUUAGAUCCCAUUCCAUUUGUAGCCAUCUGUGAGCACUUUGUCUUUUACUCAGUGAAACAGAGAGCAAAUAAAGUUUGUUUUAUUUUAUUCUAUUCUAGCAGAGGAGUGACAUCUGAUUUGCAUUUUUUAAAGCAUCCCUCUGGGUGCCAUGUUGAGAGUAAUCAAGGGGAUAGGGUGGAAGCAGGAAGACGAGUUAGGCUGUGGCAGAGAGUGUCCACAGAUGCUCAGCUCCACGCUUGGGCUUCUAAACUCUCCUUUGUGUAUCAUGAGUCUGGAAGCUUUGGGCCAAUAUUCCUAGACUCUCCUGCCAGCUGGUUUCCACAUAGAAUCUGCCAAUGGAGAGGAUGGUAGGAGGAUGAAUGUAGGAAGAAGAGAAGUCAUUAAUUCUGCUUCUGAUGGCACCUGCAGUCUCGUGGUUGUAGGAGCAGCGGGUGACUGAGCACCUAGAGGACAGGAAAGCCAUGAACUGAUAGGGAGAUGAGUACAGGUGGGGCGUGCUGGCGGUAGAAGUGGGUAUGCGAGUAGGCGGGAGAGUAGGAGUUCAAUUUUGGACACAGGAAGUUUGAGAUGCCUAGUAGUUGUGUGAAUGGGGAUAUCAAAAAGUGACUGGACAGUCUGGAAUGGGCUGUGGAAAUAAAUCUGGAAGUUCGUGAUGUCAUUAAAGACAUGAGAUUGGGUGAGCUCAUUGAAGAAUAGAAAAAAAAAAAAAGCACCCCUUAGAUCCAGGCUCUCUGACAUUAAAACUCAGGGAGGAGAAGAGAAACUAAAAAAAGGGAUUAAGAAAGAGUGACCAGUAUUGUAGGAUGAAGAUCUCAGAGAAGAGAGCAUGACCAACUUUGUCAAGUAGGCUGAUGAGUCAAAAAGAUGAGGACACCCAACGGACAGCUGGCUUCUGCACCAUGGAGGGUGUUCAGCAAGGUCAGAAGCUCUCUGAGAACAGACUGGGAAAUGGCUCUGUGCUCACUUGUUCACUUAGCUGUCAAGAUGGAUGUAACUCAGGACUUGAAGAGGACUUUUGAUUAUAUCAGCAAAUAACUUCAGAACAAAAGUGGCUUUACUUCUUUGGAAUCCUGUCUUUCAGACUUCGGUUCGAGAGAGAGAGAGCACAAGUGAGGGGAGCUGCAGAGGGAGAUGGAGAGAGAGAAUCUCCAGCAGACGCCCCACUGAGUGCAAAGCCCUUUGCAGACUCAGUCUCCGGACCCUGAGACGAUGAUCUGAGCAGAAAUCAAGAGUUGGAUGCUUAACCAACUAAGCCACCCAGGCGCCCCUCUCCUGUACUCUCUUAAUGGACCAUGACGUUUCUGCUCCCCGUGCCUUUGCUCAGUUUGCUCCGUCCCCUCGGAACAACAUCCUGCUUUCCUUUCCCUCUCUGGCUAAGUUCUUUCUCCCUCUGUCUAACUCCUUUGUAACUAAGAUCCUCUGGAAAACCUUGCCUACCCUCCCUUUGGCCCAGGCUGAAUCAGGUGCUCUUCCUAUAUGCCUAUUUCAGUCUUAGCACAUCUCAUAUUAUUCUGUAAUUUUUUAUUAUAUUAUCUAUUCUCCUUAUCCAAGAAUAAA